GUGAAGAACGUAGCGAAAUGCGAUACUUGGUGUGAAUUGCAGAAUCCCGUGAACCAUCGAGUCUUUGAACGCAAGUUGCGCCCGAAGCCACUAGGCCGAGGGCACGCCUGCCUGGGCGUCACACGCCGUUGCCCUCCCAUCUACUCCUUCGGGAUUGCGGGGGGGCGGAUGAUGGCCUCCCGUGCGCCUAGCCGCGCGGUUGGCAUAAAUACCAAGUCCUCGGCGACGCACGCCACGACAAUCGGUGGUUGCGAAACCUCGGUUGCCCGUCGUGUGCGUUCGUCGCGCAUCGAGGGCUCGAAAAAAUGCUCGGCUCCGGCUGGGCUUUCAACGCGACCCCAGGUCAGGCGGGGUUACCCGCUGAAUUUAAGCAUAUCAAUAAGCGGAGGA
rnacentral:misc_RNA from 1 species